UACGUAGGGGGCAAGCGUUGUCCGGAUUUAUUGGGCGUAAAGAGCGUGUAGGCGGCCUGGAAGGUCAGCUGUGAAAACUCGAGGCUCAACCUCGAGACGUCGGUUGAAACCGUAUGGCUAGAGUCCGGAAGAGGAGAGUGGAAUUCCCGGUGUAGCGGUGAAAUGCGCAGAUAUCGGGAAGAACACCCGUGGCGAAGGCGGCUCUCUGGGACGGUACUGACGCUGAGACGCGAAAGCGUGGGGAGCGAACAGG
rnacentral:rRNA from 1 species